rnacentral:rRNA from 1 species
GACGAACGCUGGCGGCGUGCCUAACACAUGCAAGUCGAACGGAGUUAAGACUUCGGUUUUAACUUAGUGGCGAACGGGUGAGUAACGCGUGAGGAACCUGCCUUUCAGUGGGGGACAACAGUUGGAAACGACUGCUAAUACCGCAUAACAUGUACGGAUCGCAUGGUCUGUACAUCAAAGCUUUAUGUGCUGAAAGAUGGCCUCGCGUCUGAUUAGAUAGUUGGUGAGGUAACGGCUCACCAAGUCGACGAUCAGUAGCCGGACUGAGAGGUUGAACGGCCACAUUGGGACUGAGAUACGGCCCAGACUCCUACGGGAGGCAGCAGUCGGGAAUAUUGCACAAUGGAGGAAACUCUGAUGCAGUGACGCGCGUGCAGGAAGAAGGUUUUCGGGUUGUAAACUUCUUUUACCAGGGACGAAGACGUGACGGUACCUGGAGAAAAAGCCAACGGCUAACUACGUG